AUUGAACGCUGGCGGCAUGCUUUACACAUGCGAGUCGAACGGCAGCGGGGAGGAGCUUGCUUCUCUGCCGGCGAGUGGCGAACGGGUGAGUAAUACAUCGGAACGUGUCGAGAAGAGGGGGAUAACCACCCGAAAGGGUGGCUAAUACCGCAUAAAUUCUGAGGAAGAAAGCUGGGGACCUGGGAAUAGGCCUAGCGCUUUUUGAGCGGCCGAUGUCGGAUUAGCUAGUUGGUGAGGUAAAGGCUCACCAAGGCGAAGAUCUGUAGCGGGUCUGAGAGGAUGAUCCGCCACACUGGGACUGAGACACGGCCCAGACUCCUACGGGAGGCAGCAGUGGGGAAUUUUGGACAAUGGGGGCAACCCUGAUCCAGCCAUGCCGCGUGUAUGAAGAAGGCCUUAGGGUUGUAAAGUACUUUUGUUAGGGAAGAAAAGUCAGCUGUGAAUAAUGGCUGAUACUGACGGUACCUAAAGAAUAAGCACCGGCUAACUACGUG
rnacentral:rRNA from 1 species